rnacentral:rRNA from 1 species
CAGCAGCCGCGGGAAUACGAAGGGUGCAAGCGUUAAUCGGAAUUACUGGGCGUAAAGGGUGCGUAGGCGGUUGUUUAAGUCUGUUGUGAAAUCCCCGGGCUCAACCUGGGAAUGGCAAUGGAAACUGGACGGCUAGAGUGUGUCAGAGGAUGGUGGAAUUCCCGGUGUAGCGGUGAAAUGCGUAGAUAUUGGGAAGAACACCGAUGGCGAAGGCGGCGACCUGGUCCUUUACUGACGCUGAGGCGCGAAAGCGUGGGGAGCAAACAGGAUUAGAGACCCCGGUAGUCCCUGUCUCUUAUAC